rnacentral:snoRNA from 1 species
UGGGAAGUGACGACACUCAUAUUCGUGACAUCCCACUGAUGUCUAAUGUAUUCGUACUGGCUGAUCCCA